rnacentral:rRNA from 1 species
UCGAGAAUCAUUCGCAAUGGGCGAAAGCCUGACGGUGCGACGUCGCGUGGAGGAUGAAGGUCUUCGGAUUGUAAACUCCUGUCAUAUGGGAUAAAUGGCCAGGGCACGAAUAGUGCCUUGGAAUGAUAGUACCACAGGAGGAAGAGACGGCUAACUCUGUGCCAGCAGCCGCGGUAAUACAGAGGUCUCGAGCGUUGUUCGGAUUUACUGGGCGUAAAGGGAGCGUAGGCGGUUCGGUAUGUCGAAUGUGAAAGCCCACAACUCAACUGUGGAAAUGCAUUCGAAACUGCCGGGCUAGAGUACUGGAGAGGAGAGCGGAAUUCUUGGUGUAGCGGUGAAAUGCGUAGAUAUCAAGAGGAACACCGGUGGCGAAGGCGGCUCUCUGGACAGAUACUGACGCUGAGGCUCUAAAGUUAGGGGAGCAAACAG